CCUACGGGAGGCAGCAGUAGGGAAUUUUGCGCAAUGGGCGAAAGCCUGACGCAGCAACGCCGCGUGAUCGAGACGCCCUUCGGGGUGUAAAGAUCUGUCAGUGGGGACGAAACUUGACGGUACCCACAUCGGAAGCACCGGCUAACUCGGUGCCUGCAGCCGCGGUACUACGGGGGGUGCAAGCGUUGUCCGGACUCAUUGGGCGUAAAGAGUUCGUAGGCGGCACGUAAAGUCUGGUGUUAAAGGCAGAGGCUCAACUUCUGUACGGCACUGGAUACUUGCGAGCUAGAAUGCGGUAGAGGUAAAGGGAAUGCCUGGUGUAGCGGUGAAAUGCGUAGAUAUCAGGAGGAACAUCGGUGGCGUAAGCGCUUUACUGGGCCGUAAUUGACGCUGAGGAACGAAAGCCAGGGUAGCAAAUGGGAUUAGAUACCCCUGUAGUC
rnacentral:rRNA from 1 species